GGAAGGGGCAUGCGCACUCCAGGGAAGGCACUCAAAAGUGGGGGGCAGGAAAGAUGCUUUUUGAGGAAAUCAGUUUCUACAUGUGGCAAGUAGACAUUGA